AAACCACUAUUAGUCAAUGCCGUUUCCUGACCACGCAUAAAAUGGUGCAGGCAGCACAGAUGAAUCAAACACGAGCUCUUAAAACAUUAUUCACUUGCUGCUACAGCGUCCCCAAAAGUUUGCCGCGGCCCAAAGAAGAGAACUAAACUCCCUAUUCUAUUUUUUUCCCCCCCAGGAUGUGAACUUUCCCAGAACAAACUGCAGUUUAGGAUAACAACAAGAGCGUACACAGAAAGUAAGAUAUUGCAGCCAGUUUCGCACGAAGGCCUCCCGCACCGUGCAGCCGAAAGCACUCAUGCCAGGGCCUGCAGGAGCCCAUUACGAAGCGCGUCCUGCCCAAGAUGCAGUUGACGUGAAAGUGACAUUCGUGAGCGCCAUCCUUCUACCAGGUAUCAGGACCUGACAAAAACCAGCCCUCCGUAACUGCUCCGCCACUUACAGUGCUGAUGUUGGGUUCUCAGCACCUUACCUGGUGCACACAUCUGCUCUGCGCUCCUUGCUGGCACAGGCGUGGGCCUCGAGCCCUUCACUCCACAGCUCCCGGACUGGGGCGCUUCUGUUCCCUCCCACAUGUGUUCACUACCCACCAGUUUUGAGAGUUGUCGGUCAGAUCUGUUUCUCUUAAGUGGAAUGAAUUUCCCUAAAUCAUUGACGUAUCUUCCUAGUUGCUUCUGAAAAUAAAUGAUAAUUGUAAGUUCCA